rnacentral:rRNA from 1 species
CAUUACCGAGUUUACAACUCCCAAACCCCUGUGAACAUACCUUAAUGUUGCCUCGGCGGAUCAGCCCGCGCCCCGUAAAACGGGACGGCCCGCCAGAGGACCCAAACUCUAAUGUUUCUUAUUGUAACUUCUGAGUAAAACAAACAAAUAAAUCAAAACUUUCAACAACGGAUCUCUUGGUUCUGGCAUCGAUGAAGAACGCAGCAAAAUGCGAUAAGUAAUGUGAAUUGCAGAAUUCAGUGAAUCAUCGAAUCUUUGAACGCACAUUGCGCCCGCUGGUAUUCCGGCGGGCAUGCCUGUUCGAGCGUCAUUUCAACCCUCAAACCCCCGGGUUUGGUGUUGGGGAUCGGCUCUGCCUCACGGCGGUGCCGCCCCCGAAAUACAUUGGCGGUCUCGCUGCAGCCUCCAUUGCGUAGUAGCUAACACCUCGCAACUGGAACGCGGCGCGGCCAUGCCGUAAAACCCCAACUUCUGAAUGUUGACCUCGGAUCAGGUAGGAAUACCCGCUGAACUUAAGCAUAUCAAA